rnacentral:lncRNA from 1 species
GUCAGGGUUUAGGAAAAAUCAGGGUAGUUAGUUAUGAAAAAAAAUGUGCAGAUCUAAAUAUAUGUAUAUAUAUAAAAAAUAUGAAUUAAAAAAAAACAACGGCAUUGCUAGCGCAAAAUUGCGAUCAUCGCAACUGGAUCGGAUAACACAAGUGUCACGCCUCAUACACGUAUAUGUGAAAACGGCGUAUUGACACGAUCCGAUCCGAAAACAUAAUCAAAUUAUAACAUAAAAUAGAAAUAUAUAUAUAUUUAAC